UUCCAUACACAUCAAACAAAAGCAAGUAGUUUUGGGCCAUACUCAUCGGCCAAAACAAAAACAACCAUGACAUUGAGUAUGGGCUAGGGUUUGGGGAGUUUUGUUGGCGCAUUGGGCAUUGAAGUUUGCGUCGAGUCUAUUGAAUGAUUAGGAUUUGGUUUGCAAUAGGGAUUUUUUUAAAAGAAGAGAAAAAUUGGGCAAAUUGGGGUGUACUAAGAUUGUUGGAUAGUUUUUGAUUUAUUAAAUCAGAAAUUUGUGCCGGGUAUUUUUGUAUUAAGAAAGUUUGUAUUGAGAUAAACUUAUAAAUUCAAAAUGAGGAUGGGGUGUACUUAUUGUGGGGGUGCCCUGAGACCACAGUGGUUUGCAUUUAGAAGCUCCCGUAUUUUUUGGGUGUGCGAAGACAAAUGGUUUGCAACUUUGCAUUUACAAUCUCUUCUAACUCCACACCAUUUUUACUUCCAGCGCCUCAAAAUUGAUUUUCCUAAUUACAAUUUUAUCCCUUGAUUUAAUUUGCCCUCUAGGGCAAAAAACUAGUACGAAAUCCAAACACCGAACUUCCUCUUCACACGCCCGCCCAGCCAUCCCCGCCGCCGCCGCCACCACCCAAAGAAGCCUGUCAAUAAACCCUAGAAAACUAAAUCAAUACCCAAUUCAUAUACGUACAUAUAGAUUCCAUAAAGAGUUUGCUCAGGAACGAACCACAGCUGAAGAUCAGUAGAUGACAGAUGCAAUGCGUUCGAGCGUAGGCAACCGAACCGAACCGAACCGAACCAAAGCCGCUUGUUCGGUUGAAGAUCUCCGAAGCAAAGGAGACGACGAAGGAAAAUCGCGUUUCGGCGGCGGCGUUGAUCUGGCGACAGGUUUUAGGGUUUCGUUCUAUUGACAAUGGAUUGGUUUAGGUUUUGGAUACUGGAAGAAGAAGAAGAGUGUGAAAUUUUGUAUUCAUCAAAAGAAGAAGAAGAAGAUGAAGAAGGUGGAGGAGGAGGAGGUGAUGGUGGCUGGGGUAGGGGUCGGUUUAGGGUUUGGAAGGUUGAUGAUGGAGUUAAUUUGGAAAUUAUUGAAGUGUACUAAGAUGGUUUUGGCGCGCAUUUAGAGGUUCUAAAGAGAGGAAAGGGUGUUCAUGGGAUGGAUUGUGUGAGGGAGGGGGUUUGGUAGAGGAGGUCAUGGGUUGAGGAAGAGGAGGGAGGAUAUGGUUAAUUUGGGUCUUUGGACGUUGUGAGGACGGGGAAGAUAGAUAAAGGACGAGGGAAAAUGCAAUUAGUUUGGGUCUUGAGGGGUUUUGAAAGAAGAGGGCUUCGGAAGAGAGAGAGAGAGAGAGAGAGAGAGAGAGAGAGGGAGGUGGCAGUUGGUUGUGGGAGAUGGAGAGGUGGGGUGGGUGCACGGGGGGACUGUGGGAGGAAUGCAAAGGAGAGAGAGGGAAGGGGAAGGGAGGUGCCUGUAGUGAGGAUGUGGGAGAUAGGGAAAGGAGGUUGUCAUGUAUGUGAAGUUUUGUAUCCAACGAAAAAGCUUAAACCACGCUUUCGAAGGAGGGGGUUGAGUUGUUUGGGAAGUAGGUGAUAUUGGCUGGGUGGGUGUGGGUUUAUGGUUUGGAAGGUUGACGAUGUAGUUAAUUUGGAAAUUUAGUGUACUAAGAUGGUUUUGGUGUGCAUUUAGAAGCUCUAGAGAGAGGAAGGGGUGUUUGUGGGAUUGAUUGGGGAAGGGGAUAGGGUUUGGUAGAGGAGGUAAUGGGUGCUGGUGGGGUUGGGAAGAGAGGGGAAGAGGAGGGAGGAUAUGGUUGAUAGAGGAUGAGCGGGCAGUGGCGGGAGAGGGAGAGGGAGGGAGGUGGCAGUUGGUUGUGGGAGAGGGAGGGGGUGCAGGUUGGGGCCUGUGGGAG
rnacentral:lncRNA from 1 species